CCUACGGGAGGCAGCAGUGAGGAAUAUUGGUCAAUGGACGAGAGUCUGAAGCAGCCAAGUAGCGUGAAGGAUGAAUGCCCUAUGGGUUGUAAACUUCUUUUAUAUGGGAAUAAAAUGUUCCACGUGUGGGAUUUUGUAUGUACCAUAUGAAUAAGGAUAGGCUAACUCCGUGCCAGCAGCCGCGGUAAUACGGAGGGUCCGAGCGUUAUCCGGAUUUUAUGGGUGUAAAGGGAGCGUAGGUGGGUUGUUAAGUCAGUUGUGAAAGUUUGCGGCUCAACCGUAAAAUUGCAGUUGAAACUGGCAGUCUUGAGUACAGUAGAGGUAGGCGGAAUUCGUGGUGUAGCGGUGAAAUGCUUAGAUAUCACGAAGAACUCCGAUUGCGAAGGCAGCUCACUGGACUGCAACUGACACUGAGGCUCGAAAGUGUGGGUAUCAAACAGGAUUAGAUACCCGAGUAGUC
rnacentral:rRNA from 1 species